CGUGACCUACUGAACCUCCCAUUCCAGCCCUGACUCUGCCAUGGGCACCAGGCUCCUCAGCUUCAUGACCUUCUUUCUCCUGGGGGCAGAUCACACCGAUGCUGGAAUCUCCCAGUCCCCCAGGCACAGAGUCACAGAGAGAGGACAGGAUGUAGCUCUCAAGUGUGAUCCAAUUUCUGGUCACACCUACCUUUACUGGUACCGACAGACACUGGGGCAGAACUUGGAGUUUCUGACUUACUUUCAGGAUGAUCUUGCAUCAGACACAUCAGGGAUGCCUGAUGAUCGAUACUCUGCCAAGAGGCCCGAGGGCUCCUCCUCCACUCUGAAGAUCCAGCGUGCAGAGCAGGGGGACUCGGCCUUGUAUCUCUGUGCCAGCAGCUCAGCCACAGCGUGGCACAGUCACUUCCUUCCUCUCCACAAACCCCAUGUGCUACCUCUCCGUAUGGCUCCCAGAAUCCUGAACAAAGGAGUUGCCUGCUCUUCCCUCAUCAAGGGGAACAAGUGCUUUGGGAUCCGCUGUUCUUCUGACAGGAGGAGGUCAGGAAACAACCUUCCACACACUGGGGCAGAUGACGUUGGGAAGCGAUAA